rnacentral:rRNA from 1 species
CCUGAGAAACCCAAAAGUUCGAAUGGAGAGAUUCAUCGUCAGCGAUCCUGGCAAUUGUGCGGUUCGCGAUGUCGGGGACCUCGGUCCCGUGGCACGCGUCCGUAUGAUUUUUUUGCCGGGUGUCGUCGUCGUGCACUUCUCCCCUAGUAGGACGUCGCGACCCGUUGGGUGUCGGUCUACGACCCGGGUGGGAGCCUGUCAUGUGUUACGCUUCACGGCGUCAUGUGGCAGACCCCCGGUUGUCCGACCAGCUGCCCGGCGGUACUCGCACGGUAUCGAGCCGCAAUUUGAACUGCGUCCGGCCCGCCGCAAGCGAGGCCAGUGUUUCCCGGAUGUACGGACUUAGCGCCGUCACCGGGCCUGGCCAGCUGUUGGCCGGCGGUGUCCUGGGACUGGCUCUAAAUAUACCGGUCGGCGACGCUACUGCUUUGGGUACUUUCAGGACCCGUCUUGAAACACGGACCAAGGAGUCUAACAUGUGCGCGAGUCAUUGGGAUCUGUUAAGCCUAAAGGCGCAAUGAAAGUGAAGGUAGGCCUUGCGCCAACCGAGGGAGGAUGGGCCGCGUCACGAUGCGGUCCCGCACUCCCGGGGCGUCUCGUUCUCAUUGCGAGAAGAGGCGCACCCAGAGCGUACACGUUGGGACCCGAA